rnacentral:rRNA from 1 species
GAAGCAGUACCGUAAGGAGUUGUGGACUGGUGAGAAGUGAGAAUGUCGGUAUGAGUAGCGAAAAGAAUGGUGAGAAUCCAUUCCACCGAAAGCCUAAGGGUUCCUGAGCAACGAUCGUCGUCUCAGGGUAAGUCGGGACCUAAGCCGAGGCGGAAAAGCGUAGGCGAUGGACAACAGGUUGAAAUUCCUGUACCGGUGUGAAUCGUUUGAUCGAAGGAGUGACACAGUAAGGUAGGUCAGCACGCGAUUGGAAGUGCGUGUUUAAGCAUGUAGGUUGAGUUAUAGGCAAAUCCGUAACUCUAAAAGCUGAGAUGUGAUGACGAGCUGUUUACAGCGAAGUGAUUGAUCCUACACUGUCGAGAAAAGCUUCUAGGUAGAGACACAUCGCCCGUACCAAAACCGACACAGGUAGGCGGGGAGAGAAUCCUAAGGUGCGCGGGAAAACCCUCGUUAAGGAACUCGGCAAAAUGCCUCCGUAACUUCGGGAAAAGGAGGACUCAUGUAGUGUGAAGGGCAGUAACGCGUGGAGCAUGAAUGAGUGGCACAAGAGAGGCGCAAGCGACUGUUUACCACAAACACAGGUGCCUGCUAAAGCGAAAGCUGAUGUAUAGGUGCUGACACCUGCCCGGUGCUGGAAGGUUAAGAGGAGGGGUUAGACUUUGGUCGAAGCUCUGAAUUGAAGCCCCAGUAAACGGCGGCCGUAACUAUAACGGUCCUAAGGUAGCGAAAUUCCUUGUCGGGUAAGUUCCGACCCGCACGAAAGGCGUAACGAUUUGGGCACUGUCUCAACGAGAGACUCGGUGAAAUUUUAGUACCUGUGAAGAUGCAGGUUACCCGCGACAGGACGGAAAGACCCCAUGGAGCUUUACUGUAGUUUGAUAUUGAGUGUCUGUACCGCAUGUACAGGAUAGGUAUGAGCCGUAGAAAUCGGAACGCUAGUUUCGAUGGAGGCGCUGGUGGGAUACUACCCCUGCGUUAUGGCCACUCUAACCCGCACCACUAAUCGUGGUGGGAGACAGUGUCAGAUGGGCAGUUUGACUGGGGCGGUCGCCUCCUAAAAGGUAACGGAGGCGCCCAAAGGUUCCCUCAGAGCGGACGGAAAUCGCUCGAAGAGUGUAAAGGCAGAAGGGAGCUUGACUGCGAGACCAACAAGUCGAGCAGGGACGAAAGUCGGGCUUAGUGAUCCGGUGGUUCCGCAUGGAAGGGCCAUCGCUCAACGGAUAAAAGCUACCCUGGGGAUAACAGGCUUAUCUCCCCCAAGAGUCCACAUCGACGGGGAGGUUUGGCACCUCGAUGUCGGCUCGUCGCAUCCUGGGGCUGUAGUCGGUCCCAAGGGUUGGGCUGUUCGCCCAUUAAAGCGGUACGCGAGCUGGGUUCAGAACGUCGUGAGACAGUUCGGUCCCUAUCCGUCGUGGGCGUAGGAAAUUUGAGAGGAGCUGUCCUUAGUACGAGAGGACCGGGAUGGACUUACCGCUGGUGUACCAGUUGUUCUGCCAAGGGCAUUGCUGGGUAGCUAUGUAGGGAAGGGAUAAACGCUGAAAGCAUCUAAGUGUGAAGCCCACCUCAAGAUGAGAUUUCCCAUUUCUUUAAGAAAGUAAGAUCCCUGAGAGAUGAUCAGGUAGAUAGGUCAGGAGUGGAAGUACAGUGAUGUAUGGAGCGGACUGAUACUAAUCGAUCGAGGACUUAACCAA